rnacentral:rRNA from 1 species
UAGUGGCGAACGGGUGAGUAACACGUGGGCAAUCUGCCCUUCACUCUGGGACAAGCCCUGGAAACGGUGGUCUAAUACCGGAUAUCACUCUCGCAGGCAUCUGUGAGGGUCGAAAGCUCCGGCGGUGAAGGAUGAGCCCGCGGCCUAUCAGCUUGUUGGUGAGGUAAUGGCUCACCAAGGCGACGACGGGUAGCCGGCCUGAGAGGGCGACCGGCCACACUGGGACUGAGACACGGCCCAGACUCCUACGGGAGGCAGCAGUGGGGAAUAUUGCACAAUGGGCGAAAGCCUGAUGCAGCGACGCCGCGUGAGGGAUGACGGCCUUCGGGUUGUAAACCUCUUUCAGCAGGGAAGAAGCGAAAGUGACGGUACCUGCAGAAGAAGCGCCGGCUAACUACGUGCCAGCAGCCGCGUUAAUACGUAGGGCGCAAGCGUUGUCCGGAAUUAUUGGGCGUAAAGAGCUCGUAGGCGGCUUGUCACGUCGGGUGUGAAAGCCCGGGGCUUAACCCCGGGUCUGCAUUCGAUACGGGCUAGCUAGAGUGUGGUAGGGGAGAUCGGAAUUCCU